GAUCUGGCUCAGGAUGAACGCUAGCGACAGGCUUAACACAUGCAAGUCGAGGGGCAGCACGGUGUAGCGAUACACUGGUGGCGACCGGCGCACGGGUGAGUAACACGUGUGCAACCAACCCCGUACCGGGAGAUAACCCGCGGAAACGUGGACUAACAUCCCAUGAUACUCGAGAGCCGCAUGGCUCUCGAUUUAAAAUUCCGGUGGUACGGGACGGGCACGCGCGACAUUAGGUAGUUGGCGGGGUAACGG
rnacentral:rRNA from 1 species